AUUGAACGCUGGCGGCAUGCCUUACACAUGCAAGUCGAACGGUAACAGGUCUUCGGACGCUGACGAGUGGCGAACGGGUGAGUAAUACAUCGGAACGUGCCUAGUAGUGGGGGAUAACUACUCGAAAGAGUGGCUAAUACCGCAUGAGAUCUACGGAUGAAAGCAGGGGAUCGCAAGACCUUGUGCUACUAGAGCGGCCGAUGGCAGAUUAGGUAGUUGGUGGGAUAAAAGCUUACCAAGCCGACGAUCUGUAGCUGGUCUGAGAGGACGAUCAGCCACACUGGGACUGAGACACGGCCCAGACUCCUACGGGAGGCAGCAGUGGGGAAUUUUGGACAAUGGGCGCAAGCCUGAUCCAGCAAUGCCGCGUGCAGGAUGAAGGCCUUCGGGUUGUAAACUGCUUUUGUACGGAACGAAAAGCCCUGGGUUAAUACCCUGGGGUCAUGACGGUACCGUAAGAAUAAGCACCGGCUAACUACGUGCCAGCAGCCGCCGUAA
rnacentral:rRNA from 1 species